AUACGUAGGGGGCGAGCGUUGUCCGGAAUGAUUGGGCGUAAAGGGCGCGUAGGCGGCCCGGUAAGUCUGGAGUGAAAGUCCUGUUUUUAAGAUGGGAAUUGCUUUGGAUACUGUCGGGCUUGAGUGCAGGAGAGGUAAGUGGAACUCCCAGUGUAGCGGUGAAAUGCGUAGAGAUUGGGAGGAACACCAGUGGCGAAGGCGACUUACUGGACUGUAACUGACGCUGAGGCGCGAAAGUGUGGGGAGCAAACAGGAUUAGAUACCCUGGUAGUCCACACUGUAAACGAUGAAUGCUAGGUGUAGGGGGUAUCGACCCCUUCUGUGCCGCAGUCAACACAAUAAGCAUUCCGCCUGGGGAGUACGGCCGCAAGGUUGAAACUCAAAGGAAUUGACGGGG
rnacentral:rRNA from 1 species